rnacentral:rRNA from 1 species
UACAGAGGUUCCAAGCGUUGUUCGGAUUCACUGGGCGUAAAGGGUGCGUAGGUGGUGAGGUAAGUCGGAUGUGAAAUCUCCGGGCUCAACCCGGAAAUGGCAUUGGAAACUACCUUGCUAGAGGAUUUGAGGGGGGAUUGGAAUACUUGGUGUAGCAGUGAAAUGCGUAGAUAUCAAGUGGAACACCAGUGGCGAAGGCGAAUCCCUGGAAAAUACCUGACACUGAGGCACGAAAGCUAGGGGAGCAAACAGG